rnacentral:rRNA from 1 species
AUUGAACGCUGGCGGCAGGCCUAACACAUGCAAGUCGAACGAGUGGCGGACGGGUGAGUAAUGCCUGGGAAACUGCCUGAUGGAGGGGGAUAAAUACUGGAAACGGUAGCUAAUACCGCAUACCAUCAGAUGUGCCCAGAUGGGAUGAGCUUGUUGGUGGGGUAACGGCUCACCAGGGCGACGAGCCCUAGCUGGUCUGAGAGGAUGACCAGCCACACUGGAACUGAAACCCGUUCCAGACUCCUACGUGAGGCAGCAGUGGGGAAUAUUUCAACAUGGGCGCAAGCCUGCUGCAGCCAUGCCGCGUGUAUGAAGCAGGCCUUCGGGUUGUAAAGUACUUUCAGCGGGGGGGCGUUACCCGCAGAAGAAGCACCGGCUAACUCCGUGCCAGCAGCCGCGGUAAUUC